rnacentral:tRNA from 1 species
GCCCGGGUGGCGGAACAGGCAGACGCGCACGUUUGAGGGGCGUGUGGGGCAACCCGUACCGGUUCAAGUCCGGUCCCGGGCACCA